CAGCCGCCGCGGUAAUACGAAGGGGGCUAGCGUUGUUCGGAUUUACUGGGCGUAAAGCGCACGUAGGCGGAUCGAUCAGUCAGGGGUGAAAUCCUGGAGCUCAACUCCAGAACUGCCUUUGAUACUGUCGAUCUCGAGUCCGGAAGAGGUGAGUGGAACUCCUAGUGUAGAGGUGGAAUUCGUAGAUAUUAGGAAGAACACCAGUGGCGAAGGCGGCUCACUGGUCCGGUACUGACGCUGAGGUGCGAAAGCGUGGGGAGCAAACAGGAUUAGAUACCCCUGUAGUCCCUGUCUCUUAUAC
rnacentral:rRNA from 1 species